rnacentral:rRNA from 1 species
GAAUUCGCCCUUAGAGUUUGAUCCUGGCUCAGGACGAACGCUGGCGGCGCGCCUAACACAUGCAAGUCGAACGAGCGAGAGAGAGCUUGCUUUCUCAAGCGAGUGGCGAACGGGUGAGUAACGCGUGAGGAACCUGCCUCAAAGAGGGGGACAACAGUUGGAAACGACUGCUAAUACCGCAUAAGCCCACGACCCGGCAUCGGGUAGAGGGAAAAGGAGCAAUCCGCUUUGAGAUGGCCUCGCGUCCGAUUAGCUAGUUGGUGAGGUAAUGGCCCACCAAGGCGACGAUCGGUAGCCGGACUGAGAGGUUGAACGGCCACAUUGGGACUGAGACACGGCCCAGACUCCUACGGGAGGCAGCAGUGGGGAAUAUUGCACAAUGGGGGAAACCCUGAUGCAGCGACGCCGCGUGGAGGAAGAAGGUCUUCGGAUUGUAAACUCCUGUUGUUGAGGAAGAUAAUGACGGUACUCAACAAGGAAGUGACGGCUAACUACGUGCCAGCAGCCGCGGUAAAACGUAGGUCACAAGCGUUGUCCGGAAUUACUGGGUGUAAAGGGAGCGCAGGCGGGAAGACAAGUUGGAAGUGAAAUCCAUGGGCUCAACCCAUGAACUGCUUUCAAAACUGUUUUUCUUGAGUAGUGCAGAGGUAGGCGGAAUUCCCGGUGUAGCGGUGGAAUGCGUAGAUAUCGGGAGGAACACCAGUGGCGAAGGCGGCCUACUGGGCACCAACUGACGCUGAGGCUCGAAAGUGUGGGUAGCAAACAGGAUUAGAUACCCUGGUAGUCCACACUGUAAACGAUG